UACGUAGGGUGCAAGCGUUAAUCGGAAUUACUGGGCGUAAAGCGUGCGCAGGCGGUUAUGUAAGACAGUUGUGAAAUCCCCGGGCUCAACCUGGGAACUGCAUCUGUGACUGCAUAGCUAGAGUACGGUAGAGGGGGAUGGAAUUCCCGGUGUAGCGGUGAAAUGCGUAGAGAUCGGGAGGAACAUCAGUGGCGAAGGCGGUCACCUGGCCUAAAACUGACGCUGAAGCUCGAAAGCGUGGGGAGCAAACAGG
rnacentral:rRNA from 1 species